rnacentral:rRNA from 1 species
CCUACGGGUGGCUGCAGUGAGGAAUAUUGGUCAAUGGGCGCGAGUCUGAACCAGCCAAGUAGCGUGAAGGAUGACUGCCCUACGGGUUGUAAACUUCUUUUAUAUGGGAAUAAAGUAGGGCAUGUGUGCCUUCUUGUAUGUACCUUAUGAAUAAGGAUCGGCUAACUCCGUGCCAGCAGCCGCGGUAAUACGGAGGAUCCGAGCGUUAUCCGGAUUUAUUGGGUUUAAAGGGAGCGUAGAUGGGUUGUUAAGUCAGUUGUGAAAGUUUGCGGCUCAACCGUAAAAUUGCAAUUGAUACUGGCAGUCGUGAGUACAGUUGAGGUAGGCGGAAUUCGUGGUGUAGCGGUGAAAUGCUUAGAUAUCACGAAGAACUCCGAUUGCGAAGGCAGCCUACUAAACUGCAACUGACACUGAUGCUCGAAAGUGUGGGUAUCAAACAGGAUUAGAUACCCGAGUAGUC